rnacentral:rRNA from 1 species
GACGAACGCUGGCGGCGUGCUUAACACAUGCAAGUCGUACGGUAAGGCCCUUUCGGGGGUACACGAGUGGCGGAGGGGGGAGUAACACGUGAGUAACCUGCCCACAACUUUGGGAUAACGCUAGGAAACUGGUGCUAAUACUGGAUAUGUGCUCCUGCUGCAUGGUGGGGGUUGGAAAGCUCCGGCGGUUGUGGAUGGACUCGCGGGCUAUCGGCUUGCUGGAGGGGUAGUGGGCUACCAAGGCGGCGAAGGGUAGCCGGCCUGAGAGGGUGACCGGCCACAUUGGGACUGAGAUACGGCCCAGACUCCUACGGGAGGCAGCAGUGGGGAAUAUUGCACAAUGGGCGCAAGCCGGAUGCAGCAACGCCGCGUGCGGGAUGACGGCCUUCGGGUUGUAAACCGCUUUCAGCAGGGACGAAGCUUUUUGUGACGGUACCUGCAGAAGAAGCACCGGCUAACUACGUG